rnacentral:lncRNA from 1 species
AUGAUUGAAAUAGUUGACGAAAUUACGCGCGUUGACGCGACACUCGCGUCUGAAGAUGACGAGAGUUGAACGAAAUGUGGAUAUGAUGAUGGAACGGUCCGAGAUAUGACAAGAAGAGCAUACUCAUUAAGGACCUAAAUCGCGUAACGAUCGCAAAUAAGUAAUGGCAAGAAAGCCCGUUAGGGCAAGCAUUUACCAGGUGCACGUUUAAAUUAUUGCAUGAAUAGAAAUAUGCAACAAAUACGUAGAAACUGAUAGUUGCAUAUGUAGAUUGAAAACUUGGAAAAACCUGAAUAGAAUACCUAUCCAGGAUAUUGUUUCCAAGAGAAGUAAAUAGAGGUGUUACUUACAUGGGGUGCGAUGUGAAAGUUAUAAAAGGGUCAUGUAUGUCAUGUGUUGAUCGCCUACUCUGGCCAAGUAGGUAGUGAACACAUGAUACCAUGAACUUUUUAUGAUGGACAUACUUACAUCCGAUGUAGUAAGGACAGGGUGAGUGGGACAAAUUAAAAAGUACCUAAAUGAAUCAGAUAAGCAAAAUAUUUGAUCAUAAUGUAAACGCACAGCCGAGUGACGAAAGCGUAUUAUAUUAAUAUAAUGAGCCCGAGAGAAGGGACAAAGAAACAUGUGAAAUGAUGUAGACAUGUAUUGGGAGGGGUGUACUUACACUCGAACCCGAAGAAUAUAAACAUGUAGACAUGGAAACAUGUAAAAUGAUGUAGACAUGUAUUGGGAGGGGGUGUACUUACACUCGAACCCGAAGAAUAUAAACAUGUAGACAUGGAAACAUGUAAAAUGAUGUAGACAUAUAUUGGGAGGGGGUGUACUUACACUCGAACCCGAAGAAUAUAAACAUGUAGAAUGAUCAAGAUGUGCACUGGGAGGGGGUGUACUUACACUCGAACCCGGAAAAUGCGAAUAUGUAUCUAAAUGGGUCGUUUUUGUGAAACGCCAAACUCGAGGACAAAGUCGGAAUAAAAAAAUGAAGCGAGAUCUUAAUGCAUACCGGGAGGGUUGCAAUAAUAACGACUUCGGUAAAACACACGGUUGAUGGGUAGGAAUUAAACACAUGCGUAGACCGAGAGACGGGAACGCGAAACAGAAAGUAAAAAGACUCGGAAUAUGAGUCAUGACUAAAAGACAAUGAGAAUUUGCAAACAGAAAUGUUAAUAACUACGCUCAACUAUUUUAAAGUUGGAUGGGUCAAAUAGAGAAUGAAGUUUGACAUUCAUAAGUGAUGAAAAUUCACUCAAAAUGAGUUAAACGAGUCAAUUGAGGAAUGACGCUUAAUGUAAUAGGAAAACGCAAACCGGUGAAAUUGGAAGGCUAAAAACAAUAAGAUAGAAGGACCCGGGUAAUGGGUUGUAAAGGAGUAUAAGUAUAAACCGGGUAACGGUAAGCGUAAGACAAACCGACGUGUAAAUGACGUUAGAAGUCGUAAAGUCAGAAAGAUAGCCCGAAAAUAAACAAAUGAAACCUUAGACUACGGUCAAGGUUAACCAAAGUUCAAAAGCAAAAUUAAAUGAUUCCAAACAUAACAAAGGAUGCUUUAAAGCUAUAUAUGUAUAAAUAGACAUAUGAAUGUAGACGUGAAUAAAAGACGAUCUAUGUGAUCAUCAUAACCUACGGGAUAAAAUGUAGUGAUAAGGUCUACGAGACCAAGGAGACCGUUGGGUCAUAAAUAGAAAGAGACGAACUGUUGGGUCUCACCUUAAAAGGUGAAACAUAUAAAGAAAUAGCCCAUGAGGCUAAGUAAAGAAACCUACGGGUCAAUAUUGUAAUGCAAGGGAAACUGGUUACAAUUCUCCGUGUAAAAUAAUAACGGUCAGGAAUAAAACUUAAAACGAAAAUUCCUAGACAUGAGAAAAAGAUAUAAGACAAGGAGAAAAUGUAAACUAAAAAUUUAGUUUUUAGUCAAAAGCAAUGUUUUAACAAACAUAAGUAGUAUGAGAUGGUUUAGAAAAUCUUAGACACACAUAAGGCCGGAGAUGGCAAAGUAGUAUACCUGUGUGACGGGAUAUGAAGUGACGGUGGCAAAUUAGGCUAGCCGACAAAACUAUUCAAAGUUAAGAAAAUGUCAUGACGAAUACAAAACGCUUGUUAAUAUAAGACAAGCGCGUGAUAAACCUGUUAAAAGACUAACGAGACUGAGUGGUCAAGUUACAACUCAGUCAAUAAAGAUUAAGGGUUAUAAGCAGUAAGUAACGGCCCGCGAGGCCUUACACAUGAAAGACGUACGCGUCAGUAUGCAUGAGAACUUUUAACUAAAAGAUAACGAGUUUUUAAAUGGUUACCUUAUAAGGUAAACCAUAACAAAUAAUAAGGGUAGAAAGUAACUGGACCAAUAAGUCUAGUUAGUCAGACCGGUUAAGGUCAUUUAAAUAAAUUUGGUUUGCUUGUAAGCGGUGGAUUCGGUAUAACUGAACCAAAUAAAUAAAUUUGAAAAUAAAAGAAUUUGUUGCUAAAAGUGAAAGAUUUCACCAAAGACCUUUAAACGGGUCAAGGUAACGGAUUCACAAAGGGUUCGAUAAUAUGGAUAUCGCUAAGUUAAUUGAACUAGUAGACAUAACGAAAUUACGUUAUUUCAAGUUGCUUUAUGUCGAAUGAGGCACGUAGAUGUUUUGUAACUAAAAAUGUAUUACCAUAAUUUUUUCUGGUGAUAUUAAUAAUCGAUUAAAAUAUGAGCAAUGCUCAAUUGAUUAUCGAGAGCAUAUGCAUGGAGUUAAACUCGAUAAAUUACGAAAGAAAAGGUUUCGAGGACGAAACCUCUUUAAGGGGGGUAGACUUGUAACACCCCGAAAACGGGUUUGGUAAUCAAACCCCGUUAAUACUAAAAGACGGGUAAAGUACCAUUAGUAGUAAAAUUUACCCGGUGAAUAUUAGGAAUUUUAAGUAAGUAAACCUAAUAUUUAAUAAAAAGAUAAAUAAAGGUCUAUGGAUAAAUAAAGUUUACAAAAGGUCUGAGUUAACGGGACCUAAAAUAAACUUAGUCGUAAAUAUCCCCGAAACCCGCUAAGUUAACUAGAAAUGUUUGGUUUAGUUAAUAAGAGGGAAUGUGGAUUUAAAAUAAGAAGGGUGUAACAUCCCGAAAAUACACAUUUUUAAAUUUGUAUUUAGUUACAAAUAAAAUUGGUAAAAUAAACUAACUAGGAUUGGCAUUAACCUAGUUAAAUGACAACUUAUGAGUAGUUAAAAUGUUAAAACAAAAGAAAAAUGAAACUUGAGGGACUAAAGUUGUGUAAGUGAAAACUAGUAAUAAUAA